rnacentral:rRNA from 1 species
GCCAUGCAUGUCUAAGUAUAAGUUAUACACAGCGAAACUGCGAAUGGCUCAUUAAAACAGAAAUAAUUUAUUUGAUGAUCUUUUUACAUGGAUAACCGUGGGAAACUGGGGCUAAUACAUGCGUAAAGCCGCAAGGCUGUAUUUAUUAGUUUCAAUCCAAUUUAACAUUGUUUAAAUUAAAGGAAUCAUAAUAACUAAUCGGAGCGAUGCAAGUCGCUACAUCAUUCAAGUUUCUGCCCUAUCAGCUUGAUGGUAGUGUAUUGGACUACCAUGGCUAUAACGGGUAACGGAGAAUUGGGGUUCGAUUCCGGAGAAGGAGCCUGAGAAACGGCUACUAUUUCUAAGGAAGGCAGCAGGCGCGUAAAUUACCCAAUCCUGAUUCAGGGAGGUAGUUAAUGGAAAUAACUAGUUCGUCUCAUUGAGAUUUGAACUUGUAAUGAGUUGAAUUUAGAUAAUUCUUCGAAUACUAUUGGAGGGCAAGUCUGGUGCCAGCAGCCGCGGUAAUUCCAGCUCCAAUAGCGUAUAUUAAAGUUGUUGCAGUUAAAAAGUUCGUAGUUGAAUGUCGGCAUUUUUGCCUGCCAGCUCGUCAUAGCGCUAUACUUGUAUUGUGUUAUGAAAGACUGGCUUUUACUGUGAACAAAAUAAAGUGCUCAGAACAGGCUUUUGCCUGAAUAAUACAGCAUGGAAUAAUAAAAUAAGACUUUCUUCAUUUUAUUGGUUUGAUGUAGAAAGUAAUGAUUAACAGAAACAGUUGGGGCCAUAUGUAUUUGAUAGUCAGAGGUGAAAUUCUAUGAUUUAUC